GCCGUAGCUCAGUGGCAGAGCAUAUGCUUUGAAUGCAGAAGGUCCCAGGUUCAAUCCCUGGCAUAUCCA
rnacentral:tRNA from 1 species